GUCUUCACACUGAUUUCAUGAAAGAGGACAAUUGUUAGGAUCCUCCUAACAACGCUGUUCUCUGUAAGGCUGCAGCUACCGUGGCUGUGAUCAUGUCUCCAACUGCCAAGACACCAGCAGAGAAUCCAGUGCAUGACUAUCUUUCCUUCAGAUCCUAACAGCUUAUGACCAACAAUUGAAUACUAAAAGCAAUAUGAGAUAGUGUGAACUGACCUGGCCCAAGGAGUGUUUCCAGCAUACUGGACCCAAAUCACACUGCAGUGCCACGGACUGUUGUAUUGGCACUACUGAUGGGGUGGCUUGCGGAGCACACUUUGAUUGGUUAUGACCUGCUCUACCACAGCACACCAGAUGGCAUCAGAUCAUCUACUUCUGAAAAAGAAAAAAAGCCUUGUCACUGGAAUGUGGAACAGAAGAGAGUCAAAGUGAAAUCAGGUUAAAGUAUUAUUCACCUGAUUGAAUCAAGUGUUAAUGGAAGACUGACAACAUCAAAUAUCCUCUUCUAUAGCCUCUUACCUUUUUAUUUUAUCAUCUUGGGAAAGAUAACUGGAAAUGUCCAUAUCUUCUGCAUAACAAGUAUCCAGAGACAUAUGCUAUUAAGUGUUGGUACCUGCACAGAAAGGCAAGAGCUAUUUCUUCUCUUUUGCUCAUGCUUUGCCCAAGACACAGCUGUUAAGAUUUAUGAUGCUCCAUUGUCCUUGGCCUAGUGGGGAUAUGGUAUAAGCCUGGCUAGUAAAAGUUGUAGUCAAAUAGUUGUUCCAUAAUGUAGCAGUUUCUUAAUAAUUUCACUGCAUCAAGCUGUGAACAAAACAUUAGCCAGUUUCUUAUAAUCAUCACCUUCCUUAUAUUUGUAACUGUCUGCUCUAGUUUUCCAUUUCCAUGUUUUAAUGUUUUAUUCUGAGGUCUACUUCAACAUGGAAGAGUUAACUGAAUUUAGGCAACCACAUCUCAUCACACCUACAUUUCAAAUUAUUGACAAUUAGUGAGCAAAAGAGGUAGACUUUCUCCUCGAAACAGUGAAAGAACCAUGGUUCCCAAAAAGGAUAAUAAAUUUCACAAGGAGAGGAAAACAAAACAAAACAAAAUAAAACAAACCAACUCAA